rnacentral:lncRNA from 1 species
UUCAUAAACUACAAAGAUGUUUAUUUGUUUCAGGGAACUUAAGCGGCUCAUUUUGUCAGAUACAAAAUUAGGAAUGAACAAUUGCUUACAUUUUUAAAAUAGAUGUUUUAUUUCCCCUAGUUCCAUAAAAACAAUGUAAAUACAGGCAAUCUACAUCUUGCUGGUGAAGUCACAUAUUCCCUGGUCCUCUGAUCUCUUCCAGGUUUGGUUCUGUUGGGACCACUGGCUGCAGGAGUGGAGUGGAGGUGGGCUUAGGAGAGGCCAUGGCUAUUUGGUUUGGUGAUUGUUUUUAUUGCUUGCCCUGUCAGUCCACUUCCAUUCCUCCAAACAUGGAAUCAAAGUUUAAGAUUUCAGCCCUUAAUCCUGUAGGACUGUCAGCUUUUUCUUGCAUAGACAUUACUAGGGAUCUGACUGGUAGGGAGACUGGUACAGAAGGUGUUUAGGAGUGGGAAGCCAGCUAGGUGAACAGAGCCUGACCACAGGAGGGACUGCCAAGCGCUCUCGCCAGGCAUCUGGCUCAGCUGUGUUGAUGUCCUUGCAAUUAGAUCCCAGAAAGGCAGUUCCAACUUGAAAUCAGUGAAGCCUUUUGGCAAUGCGCUAAUUGCUUUAAGGAGGGGUGGGGGGUGGGGGGUCCACUUUAACAGUCUUGCAAGUGGAGAAUUGUCUCACAAAGCUUCUUGUGAAAGAUGGACGUAGAUUACUAAGGCUUAGCCAGGGGGCAGUUAGCAGCCAGGCGGUAAAACCAGGAUGGUCAAUUUAUAGUUCCCUUAGUUUUCUGAUUGUCACCUAGGUAAUUAAUAAUUGGAACUCCCUCGGCCAAGGUGGCAGGGUAGAACUGGUUAAUCGGGGUCCCGGUGUGGACCGUGCUGUGUGUGGAUGCGGCCUGGAGGGUAGCUUUACAGGAAUCCCACGGAAAGGAAUUCCCUCCAGUUUGCCUGCUUCUAGGUGCUUCAGGGACAAAAAUCUCAAUUUGGAUCUGUGUGCUUGAGUUUCUGUUCUGUUCUUAAUAAUGUCCCUAAGAGCAACGGUUCUGGGGGGGGGGGGGCGCUCAUAUCAAACACCCUGUAUCAGGUAAAACCAGCUCAUCAGAAAGUAAUUAUACCUGCCUGUCCCUCUCCCUCCCCCGCUUGUAUCAUUUCAUAUUAGUUCACAUUAUUUCACAGUUGCCUCCCAUUUACAGCAAGUGCCUCCAAUUCUCCUUUUUAGAGAAAGGAGAAUCUUUUUUAAUAUAACUUUGAAAAGGAGAAUCUUUUUCAAUAUAACAAAAUCUUUUUCUAUA